UGGAGGACACUUCCGCUUCCUGUGUGGCGCAGAGACAGUCAGGCAGCGGCACAGGAAAGGCCGCCCUCUGCAGGGGAGCCCCCUUCCUCGCCGGGGCCCUGGAGUCAGCCUGGCCCUCCCUCCGUCCCUCCGCUCCCCAUCGCCGGCGGUGGUUGCUCGCUCGCUCGCUCGCCCGCCCGCCCUUCGGAGGGCCAGGGGCUGAGCGUGGCAGCGCCGUCUUCCUGGCCUUUGCCCGUCCUUCUCCGGGGCGGGCGCCCUAGUCCCUGGAGCGGCAGAAAACAAGCUCGCGCUCUCUGCAAUAGGAGACCCCUUCAGAUGUUUAAAGGUGGCUGCUGCCUCUCCAGGUUAAACAGACUCAACAUGGGGCAUUUCUCCAUUUUGGGGGCCCUCCUCUGGGCACGCUCCAUCUUCUCAAACAGCAUGGACAGACUUCAGUGACAGAGCAGGGGAUCCUGAGAGUUCCAUCAGAGGCUAGAAUCCUGCUCCUCAGACUGCUGGCUGCCUUGUCUCUCUGGACUUCUUGACCUUGGAUUUGUCUACAUGUCUCAUCACUCUCUGGAACCCUGGACUUCGGAUCUCUGACUACUCUCUGGGUUUAUGCUCUUGGACUCUCUUGCUUGCUUUGCUGGACUGAUUUAAGUUCUGGACAUUUAGAACUGUGUGCUGUUAUCAGCCUUCUUGGACAAUACUAUUUUUUAAAAGUCUGUGGUCUUUUUGCUUUUCGUAUUCAUUGAUAAUUGUUAAAAUUUGGAUGAUUCCUAUAUCUACAGUUGAAACAGUUCUACUGGUAUGCCAUCUGUUCCUGGUGACUAAGUACUUGGAGAGAUACAUCUACUUCACUAUCUAAAAUUAUGGAUUUGUAGGAAUCAGUCAUCCCCUUCAUUUGUUUUGUACAGUUCUUCAGUUUAUUUCUUCCACUUUUUCAUUUUGUCCUGAUCAUAUAAUGUGCUUGCUCCAUAUUGAUGAUUCAGCAUUUUAAAUUGCCUUGAUUUCUCAAAUCUCUUGGAAAAGUUAUCUUUUAAUACCUCUUUUGUUGUCUUCGUCUAUUUUCACUGAUUAGUGUAACAGUAACUAUAAGUUGAUUAGCAUUUCAAAGAGGUUCAUCUGGCUCCGCAAAUGGUGCCGCCAAACAACUGUCUCUGCAGAUGGUGCUGCUGAGAAUGAUUGUUAGCAUUCUUUAGAUUCGUAGAUCAUGGCUUCAGGAAAGGAGACUGGCAACAGAUGGGUUGCAUCUUACACCAGUUGAAAGAAACAUUUUUGCCAAUACAGUAGUCUCAAAAAUUUGAUCAGGAGGGCUUUAAACUGAGUUAUGUGAGGGAGGGAGAUCAUAUUUUGGAAGGCAGGAGUUCAUCAAGGGCUGGAGAUAAUAGUCAAACUGUUAUAGAGAGAACAAGGAAAAUAGCACAGGGACCCAACAAUGGG